rnacentral:rRNA from 1 species
CACGUAGGAGGCAAGCGUUAUUCGGAUUUACUGGGCGUAAAGCGCGUGCAGGCGGCUCGAUAAGUUGGAUGUGAAAGCUCCUGGCUUAACUGGGAGAGGUCGUUCAAUACUGUCGGGCUAGAGGAUGAGAGAGGGAGGUGGAAUUCCGGGUGUAGUGGUGGAAUGCGUAGAUAUUCGGAGGAACACCAGUGGCGAAAGCGGCCUCCUGGCUCAUAACUGACGCUAAGACGCGAAAGCUAGGGUAGCAAACAGG